UACAGAGGGUGCAAGCGUUGUUCGGAAUUACUGGGCGUAAAGCGCGUGUAGGCGGCGUCGUUAGUCGGAUGUGAAAGCCCUCGGCUCAACCGAGGAACGUCGAUCGAUACUGCUGUUCUUGAGGAUUGCAGAGGAGACUGGAAUUCCCGGUGUAGCGGUGAAAUGUGUAGAGAUCGGGAGGAACACCGGUGGCGAAGGCGGGUCUCUGGGCCGAUACUGACGCUGAGGAGCGAAAGCGUGGGGAGCGAACAGG
rnacentral:rRNA from 1 species